UUUCCUUUCUCCCGCCCUAUCUCCAAAACUGCAAUUCCAGAUGAAACUGGGAGGAUUGCACGGGCCUUCAUAUACAGAGAACACCUGCAUAACAAACUCCUCAAGGGCAUUUUCCUAGAAGACAAUCUCUAUUAAAGUAGACAGCUACUGUGAAUCUCAUGAAAACAGGACUAUUUAUGAUCCCUGAAAAUGGGGGAGAGUGGAAAGUGACUCCACGUAUAUACUCCAAGGAAAAAAAGACAAAGAAGAAUGCGUGUUUUCACCACAGAGACUGGACCACAUCCAAAAGAACAAGAGAAAUCAGUGUCGGCAUGGAUGUGGAAAGAAAGGGAGUCUCCUUCGCUGCAAAAAACAGUACGGACGAUUCUCAAAAAAUUAGAAAUUGAACUCCCAUUUGACCCAGGAAUACCCCUCCUGGGAAUAUAUUCUGGAGAGGCAAAAAAGUAUAAUAAAAAUGACAUCUGCACUUAUUUGUUCAUUGCUGCACUCCUUACAAUAGCCAAAAUCUGGAAAAAACCUGAGUGCCCAAAAAAUGAUGACUGGUUAAAGAAUCUUUGGUACACCUACACAAUGGAAUACUUUGCAGCUGUUAAAAAAUAUGAAGUCAUGAAAUUUGCAUAUAAGUGGAUCAAUAUGGAGAGGAUCAUGUUAAGUGCAAUGAGUCAGAAAGAGAGGGACAGACAUAGAAAUAUCGCACUUAUCUGUGGAAUAUAAAGUAACAGAAUAGAAAACUAACACCCAAAAAUGAUAGAGAUAAGGUCCAGGAGGCUUGUCUCAUGUCUUGGAAGCUGGUAUCACAUGCUGGGGGAAAAGGCAGCUCAGAUAGAGAAGGAAGACCAAGUAAAGAGUGUCGGGAGGACCUGCUCAGGCUGGGAGAUACGAGUCAAAAGUAGAUUACAGAUCAAACAUGAUGGCCACUCAAUGCCUCUAUCGAAAACCACAACACCCAAA